ensembl:snRNA Gm24765 U6 spliceosomal RNA
GUGCACACUUCUACAGCACAUAUGCUAAAAUUGAAUGAUACAGAGAUUAGCAUGGCCCCUGCACAAGGAUGUCAUGCAAAUUCAUGAAACAUUCCUUAUUUUC